GCCACUGCUAUUGGGGUUCGGCUAAGCCAUGCGGGUGGAGGGCGUCCCGCAAGGGAUGGCCCCGCAGACGGCUCAGUAACACGUCGUCAACCCACCUUAGGGUGGGGGACAACCUCGGGAAACUGAGGAUAAUCCCCCAUAGGCGGGGGAGGCUGGAAUGCGCCCCCGCUGAAAGCUCAGGCGCCCUAGGACGGGACGGCGGCCUAUCAGGUAGUUGGUGGUGUGACG
rnacentral:rRNA from 1 species